rnacentral:rRNA from 1 species
UACGGAGGAUCCAAGCGUUAUCCGGAAUCAUUGGGUUUAAAGGGUCCGUAGGUGGACUGGUCAGUCAGAGGUGAAAUCCUGCAGCUUAACUGUAGAACUGCCUUUGAUACUGCUAGUCUUGAAUCAUUAUGAAGUGGUUAGAAUAUGUAGUGUAGCGGUGAAAUGCAUAGAUAUUACAUAGAAUACCAAUUGCGAAGGCAGAUCACUAAUAAUGUAUUGACACUGAUGGACGAAAGCGUAGGUAGCGAACGGG